rnacentral:snRNA from 1 species
GUACUCGCUUCGGCGGUACAUAUACUAAAAUUGGAACGAUACAGAGAAGAUUAGCAUGGCCCCUUCGCAAGGAUGACACGCAAAAUCGUGAAGCGUUCCACAUUUUU